rnacentral:rRNA from 1 species
GAGUUUGAUCGUGGCUCAGGACGAACGCUGGCGGCGCGCCUAACACAUGCAAGUCGAACGGAGUUAUUCUGAAUGAAGUUUUCGGAUGGAUUUUGGAUUAACUUAGUGGCGAACGGGUGAGUAACGCGUGAGUAACCUGCCCUGGAGUGGGGGACAACAGUUGGAAACGACUGCUAAUACCGCAUAAGCCCACGGUGCCGCAUGGCACAGCGGGAAAAGGAUUUAUUCGCUUCAGGAUGGACUCGCGUCCAAUUAGCUAGUUGGUGAGGUAACGGCCCACCAAGGCGACGAUUGGUAGCCGGACUGAGAGGUUGAACGGCCACAUUGGGACUGAGACACGGCCCAGACUCCUACGGGAGGCAGCAGUGGGGGAUAUUGCACAAUGGGGGAAACCCUGAUGCAGCGACGCCGCGUGGAGGAAGAAGGUUUUCGGAUUGUAAACUCCUGUCGUUAGGGACGAUAAUGACGGUACCUAACAAGAAAGCACCGGCUAACUACGUGCCAGCCGCCGCCGUAAC